UACGAAGGGGGCUAGCGUUGCUCGGAAUCACUGGGCGUAAAGGGUGCGUAGGCGGGUCUUUAAGUCAGUGGUGAAAUCCUGGAGCUCAACUCCAGAACUGCCUUUGAUACUGAAGAUCUUGAGUUCGGGAGAGGUGAGUGGAACUGCGAGUGUAGAGGUGAAAUUCGUAGAUAUUCGCAAGAACACCAGUGGCGAAGGCGGCUCACUGGCCCGAUACUGACGCUGAGGCACGAAAGCGUGGGGAGCAAACAGG
rnacentral:rRNA from 1 species